AUACCGCCGCCCUAUUUUUAAAGUGGCAGACAGGUUUUAUUUAUAUUUUUAGCAUUUAUUUAUUUACUUGGGGGAUGCACAUGCCACAGUGUGCAAGCAGAAGUCAGCUCUCACCUUCUACCAUGUGGUUUCCAGGGGUCAAACUCAGACUUACCAGCAAAUACCCACUAACCUUGUUAGCCCCAUUAUGUAGAUUUUUAGUAUAUAUUACAAGUAAACAGUAAUCAUCAAAGAAAUUCCUUAUAAGUAGUAGGCAAAAGUCAAACCAUACUGUCUCCUCCUCUCCUAUUCCCACACAGACCACUGCUCUGCUUGUCCAAGUCCCCUCUGCAGAAGCUCAUCCCAUCAAAGCAGAGCCUGACUCCCAGGCUUUCAGAAGCACAGCUACACCGUCUUGCAUAAGCCAGCCUACAUGGCACAGGAGCAGUGCACAAACCAUUUCACUAGCACCUGUCUUGUGGCAGGGAAUCCACCCGCCAUGUGUUCCUCACCCAAGCUAGCCUAAGUAAACACACAUAC
rnacentral:lncRNA from 1 species